GUGCAGCAGUCGCGAAACCUUCGCAAUGCGCGAAAGCGUGACGAGGCUACUCCGAGUGUCGCUCGCUGAGGGUGACUUUUCUCAGGUCCAAAAAGCCUGAGGAAUAAGGGGAGGGCAAGUCUGGUGUCAGCCGCCGCGGUAAUACCAGCUCCUCGAGUGGUCAGGGCGUUUAUUGGGCCUAAAGCAUCCGUAGCCGGUUCUGUAGGUCUUCUGUUAAAUCCAACAGCCCAACUGUUGGGCUGCAGGAGAUACCGCAGAACUAGGAGGCGGGAGAGGCGGAUGGUACUCCGUGUGUAGGGGUAAAAUCCGUUGAUACACGGAAGACCACCAGUGGCGAAGGCGAUCCGCCAGAACGCGCUCGACGGUGAGGGAUGAAAGCUGGGGGAGCAAACCGGAUUAGAUACCCGGGUAGUCC
rnacentral:rRNA from 1 species